rnacentral:rRNA from 1 species
UACGUAGGGCGCAAGCGUUGUCCGGAAUUAUUGGGCGUAAAGAGCUCGUAGGCGGUUUGUCACGUCGGCUGUGAAAACCCGAGGCUCAACCUCGGGCCUGCAGUCGAUACGGGCAGACUAGAGUGCUGUAGGGGAGACUGGAAUUCCUGGUGUAGCGGUGAAAUGCGCAGAUAUCAGGAGGAACACCGGUGGCGAAGGCGGAUCUCUGGGCCUUACCUGACGCUCAGGUGCGAAAGCUAGGGGAGCGAACAGG